CCAAGAAAAAAGGAAAAAAGAAUCAAUAUUGUGAUGUGUGGGGCAAGACAAGAUCUAGAUGGUCUAAGGACAAGCAAGGCUGGGGAAUUAACUUCUGCCCAUCCAAAUUACAAGGAAAACAGAUGCUUUGGGCAAGCGUCGAGGAACAGUCUCAUACUUAAGACACAUGUAGGCUUAUGGGCUGAGAAUUCUUCGUGUAAAGGUUGAAAAUUGACCUUAAACCUUUACGGGACACUGACACACAGAGGUCAAACCCGCGCCCAGGACGCACAGUCAGUGAGAGGCAGAGCUGGGAAGGGAACACCAGAGCUCUAGGCAUCGGCUCCUCCACCUCCACCUGCCCUACCGAUGCGUUUUCUCCUCCGUGCUCCCUGCUGGUGUUGCCUUCUGGAACCUCGGCAGUUUCUGCUUUCGCAUCUGCAGGGUUUAGUCUCCGGGACUGCUUGGGAGGACACCUGGAAUGCCGAAGGCAGAACUACACACCGGGCGAAUCCACCAGCGCCACCAAGCCCUUGAAAACCCGAGGCCGCCACGCGACUCCAUUUCCCAGCGCCCCGCGCGGCGGGGGCUUGGACGUUGCCGAGGAGACCGGUGGUGGCCCCGCCUCCACGCAGGGACACAGGCGGGAACCACAUGACCCGGAAGGCUGUACGCAAGCGUCCGCGGCGCGCACUGGGCCAAUGAGAACCGAAGGGCUGGACUUCCGGCGGUGGGACUGUCACUUCGCCGCCCGCGUCAGGCCACACUGGUGGUCUGGGCUGGGGCCCGCGGGUCGGGUCCGGUUUCCAGGAGGUUCCCGGGUCCCGAGGCUGGCGGCGAGGAAGGACCAGAUGGCCUUUGAGGAUGUGGCCGUGUACUUCUCCCAGGAGGAGUGGGGGCUCCUGGACACAGCCCAGAGGGCCCUGUACCGUCGCGUGAUGCUAGACAACUUCGCACUUGUGGCCUCGCUGGGACUCUCCACCUCUCGACCUCGUGUGGUCAUCCAACUGGAGCGUGGCGAGGAGCCCUGGGUUCCCAGUGGAACGGACACGACCCUGUCGAGGACCACCUACAGGAGGCGCAACCCUGGUUCCUGGAGUUUGACAGAGGAUGAAGAUGUUUCUGGAGAAUGGCCACGAGCUUUCCCAGAUACCCCACCUGGGAUGACUACUAGCGUCUUCCCCGUUGCCGGUGCCUGCCACAGUGUAAAAAACCUUCAAAGACAGCGGGGUGCCUCCCCAUCUCGGGAGAGAAAACCCACAGGGGUAUCAGUGAUCUACUGGGAGAGGCUCCUGCUAGGCUCAGGCAGUGACCAGGCCAGCGUCAGCCUGCGACUGACCUCCCCACUCAGGCCUCCCGAGGGCGGCCGGCUUAGGGAAAAGACACUCACAGAGCAUGCGUUGCUUGCGAGACAGCCCAGGACGCCUGAGCGGCAGAAGCCAUGUGCACAGGAGGUCCCUGGGAGAGCCUUUGGGAGCGCCCAGGACCUGGAGGCUGCCAGCGGUCGGGGGCAUCACCGAAUGGGUGCGGCUUGGCAGGAGCCUCAUAGACUCCUUGGUGGCCAGGAGCCGUCGACCUGGGACGAGCUGGGCGAGGCUCUUCACGCUGGGGAGAAGUCCUUCGAAUGCAGGGCAUGCAGCAAAGUGUUCGUGAAGAGCUCCGACCUCCUCAAGCACCUACGCACCCACACCGGGGAGCGGCCCUACGAGUGCGCCCAGUGCGGCAAGGCCUUCAGCCAGACGUCGCACUUGACGCAGCACCAGCGCAUCCACAGCGGCGAGACGCCCUACGCGUGCCCCGUGUGCGGCAAGGCCUUCCGGCAUAGCUCCUCACUGGUGCGGCACCAGCGCAUCCACACGGCCGAGAAGUCCUUCCGCUGCUCCGAGUGCGGCAAGGCCUUCAGCCACGGCUCCAACCUCAGCCAGCACCGCAAGAUCCACGCGGGCGGGCGUCCUUAUGCCUGCGCACAGUGUGGCCGCCGCUUCUGCCGCAACUCGCACCUGAUCCAGCAUGAGCGUACGCACACGGGCGAGAAGCCCUUUGUGUGCGCGCUCUGCGGUGCCGCCUUCAGCCAGGGCUCCUCGCUCUUUAAACACCAGCGCGUGCACACAGGUGAGAAGCCCUUCGCCUGCCCACAGUGUGGCCGCGCCUUUAGCCACAGCUCCAACCUCACCCAGCACCAGCUCCUGCACACGGGCGAGCGGCCUUUCCGCUGCGUGGACUGUGGCAAGGCCUUCGCCAAGGGCGCUGUGCUGCUCAGCCACCGGCGCAUUCACACAGGCGAGAAGCCCUUCGUGUGCACGCAGUGUGGCCGCGCCUUCCGUGAGCGCCCGGCCCUCUUCCACCACCAGAGGAUCCAUACCGGCGAGAAGGCGGUCCGGCGAUCCAGGGCCAGCAUGCACCCCCAGGCCAGGUCUGUUUCCGGGGCAUCAUCAGAAGGUGCACUAGUGAAGGAAACCGAGCCCACUCCCGUCUCGGGCCCAGCCGCCGUCUCGCAGCCAGCGGAGGUCUGAGGUCACAGAUUGCAGCCCUAGCCUUCUGUGAAUUCCUUCCACAGCUAAAGGGCGUAUGUCCUCUGCAGAUCCACAGCAGAGAAAAAGUCCCGUGCUUGCUAGUCAGGGACAAGGGAGGCCCUUUGGAUGUGAUUUCAUUUGCACGUGGGGACAGUUCACCCACAGAUCACACCUCCAUCCCCAAAGAGGUAGCACUGCAGAAACAUCAGGGGGAGGAUGUAAUGGCUGAACUCUAGUGGGGCCAAGACUAUUCAGAGCCUGUAGGAGGCCGACAGUCACAGCACUGCACUGUGGUGCUGCUUCAUGUGAUACGACAGUGGAUGCUAAGAUGGUAUUGAACAUACCCUGACAUGCCAUCAGCGUUUGUCAUCAUCACAGAAGUUCCUGGACUUGGCUUCAACCUGGGUACCCUCAAGAGGCCACAGAGUAGAGAUACAGCCUGUCUGCAGCCCAGGGAGGGAGUGGGAUACCUGUAUCCUUUUCAGGGCCAGAGGUGGGUCCGGGUAGCCAGGAGCUGGCUGAAAUGGGAUAGAGUGGGGCCGUCUGGAGCAGCAGCUCUGCUAGAUGAGUCCUGGUGGAUCCUGGCAAUGGGAGGAAGGUAGGUGGAGAAACCAAGGCAGGGCUGUGUUUCUUCUGCUGAGAUAGAGGGCGUGGCCAUGUGUGAUGACCCUGCAAGGUUGACUCCAACCAGUGGACGCUCUAGCCUAUGGCUUCCAAAAUCUUGCAGCUAUCGUGCCCUAUACACAAAGAGCCGAGACCUAGGCCCCACCCACUUGAUAUUGGGGCCAGACUCUUCCACCUGUGAAACCUCACAGGUUCCUGCAGGGAGUGGAGACACACAGAACCCAGCUCCCCUGGAGCCUGCAAGACUUGGGCCACCAGAAUCCCAGUAGGUCCCUGAACCACUGUCCCCCACUAAGUCUGCAGAGCUGUGAAAUGCAGACAAUAACUCUUCCCUGCCUGAAAGAGCACUUUUCUGGGGAGCCCAUGGGAGUCAGGAGCAAAAGCAUCUGUCAAACAAGUAGAUACCCAGAGAGUCACGUGAAAUCAUUUCUGUGCCUCUGAUAGAUGCUUCUUGAGCGAAGUUUCUGCCCUGAGCCUGCCUGACCCCUUAGGCUGGGCUCAGUACCCUACCUUGUCUUCCCACCAGCCGCCUCCCUCCAUCAGGCUCCUUUCCACGUCUGCUUGUGCCCCUGUUGUCCCUCAGUUUGUCCACCCUCCUCCAAUCUCCUCCUCCCCAAACCCAUGACUGAUCAGUGGUCCCCAAACCUAGGCUCCCGCCUCCACGCAGGUCUUGGCCCCUCAGCUGACCUCCCUCCAACCUCCCCCUCUGCUCUUAAUUUUGAAUAGGUAGUGACUGUAAAAGUAUCUCUGGGCUUCUAUGUCAAAAGGUCAGACCGAACACAUGCAUCUUACUGGGCUCAGAAAUCCACUGAAACCAUAGAGGGGAGUAUUUAAAACACAUAAACCCACAAGUAUGAGGAUGGUGACAGAGGAGUCAGGAGCAAUGGCAUUCCUAAGCUAGAAGUGGAUGAGAGCUGUCACUAAGGAAGGCCAAAUACUGCGUGACGACUUGGGGGAAGAGGAGGGAGUUCCCACCAGGCUGACUCUAGAACCGCAGAAGGCUGAGAACCAGCAGCCCAGAGAUGGGAGACCUGUAACAAAGCUGCCUGGGGAACAACUACUGAAGAAGCCCUUAACGCCCCAGUGAUCUCCCCACAUGAUGAAGGGUGAAAGUUUUUUUUUUUUUCCUGGGACUCUGCGUAGUCCCAGAGAAAAGGCGUAAGCACUUCAUCCCCAAAAACAACCUGAGGAGGCCUCUGGAAAGCUCCGAGUUGACUAGUCUCAUCCACGCACAUGCUCGGUGCUUCCAAUCGGUGAUUAAGACCAUUUCUCUUCAUCCAGAGCAGGCAGCAGGGAUUCCCGGGUAUCCAAAGAAACCAAAACAGGCGGUGUAAUUUAGGACUGAAUAAGUCAUAGCUCGGCCACCUUAAGUGUGGAAGCAAAACUGACCCCACAGAUUUAGAAAACUGUAACACUGCUUAUUGGGAGAAACUAGUGUAAACCUGGCUAGUUCAGCUCCCCAAAUUAAAAGGUAAAUAAACGGCUGAGCACGUCC